GCUGUUAAGGGUUCGUAGUUGAAUUGAGGGUGCUUUCAAGUUGACGAAUCAGUCCCCCUUCGCUUCGCGAAGGCGGCGACUCUCGCUCUUGGCAUCCGUGAACGACACAUUGCAGGAUCAAAUACCACGGGAUUUUGCUUCUUCUCAACAUCACUACGCAUGCGAUGCAUGCAGUGUGGGGGGCGCCCGUGAUUAUUUACUGUGACUAAAAAGCGCGACCAAAGCAGUCAAGCGACUGAAUUUCAAAGCAUGGGAUAACAACGAAGCGGCCUAUGGGUUUCCAUUUCGGCUUUUGUUGGUUUUAAGAUCUGUGGGAGAUUGUGGACGGGCAUGACAAGCGGUUCGGGAGCGCAUCUCUUGGUGCGUUCCCUACGCCUUCCGGGGCAGAAUUUCGGUUCAUUCCGGUCUGUUUUCUGGCUUGCCUGUCCAGGAAUGAAGGAGGGUUGUUCGGGGGAGAACGUACUUGAGCGUGGAGGUGAAAUUCUUAGACCGCUCAAAGGCGAACUACAGCGAAGGCAUUCUCCAAGGAUACCUUCCUCAUCAAGAACCAAAGUACGGAGAUCGAAGAUGAUUAGAUACCAUUGUAGUCC
rnacentral:rRNA from 1 species